UGCCAAAGUGUUGAGUUCAGUUCUGGGCGUAUCACCCAGUCCUGCUAAUUAAACUUUGGUACAGAAAGUGGCUUGGGGCUGAGAUGCUGAUGGCGAGAUGGCUGCCCAGGCCGUUUCCCUCAGCCUGGGCCG
ensembl:snoRNA SNORA36A small nucleolar RNA SNORA36 family